rnacentral:rRNA from 1 species
GAUCAUGGCUCAGAUUGAACGCUGGCGGCAGGCCUAACACAUGCAAGUCGAGCGGAUGAAGAGAGCUUGCUCUCUGAUUCAGCGGCGGACGGGUGAGUAAUGCCUAGGAAUCUGCCUGAUAGUGGGGGACAACGUUUCGAAAGGAACGCUAAUACCGCAUACGUCCUACGGGAGAAAGCAGGGGACCUUCGGGCCUUGCGCUAUCAGAUGACGCCGUAGGUCGGUAUUAG